rnacentral:rRNA from 1 species
ACUCAAAGGAAUAGACGGGGGCCCGCACAAGCGGUGGAACAUGUGGUUCAAUUCGACGCAACGCGAAGAACCUUACCUGGGCUUGAAGUGUCCGUGACCAUCCCGAGAAAUUGGGACUUCCCGCAAGGGACACGGAUAGAGGUGCUGCAUGGCUGUCGUCAGCUCGUGCCGUGAGGUGUUGGGUUAAGUCCCGCAACGAGCGCAACCCUUGCCCUUAGUUGCCACCCGUAAGGGGGAACUCUAAGGGGACUGCUCCGGAUAACGGAGAGGAAGGUGGGGAUGACGUCAAGUCAGCAUGGACUUUAUGUCCAGGGCUACACACGUGUUACAAUGCGCGCCACAAAGCGCUGCGAACCCGCGAGGGGGAGCUAAUCGCAAAAAAGCGCGCUCAGUUCGGAUUGCAGUCUGCAACUCGACUGCAUGAAGCCGGAAUCGCUAGUAAUGGCGCAUCAGCACGGCGCCGUGAAUACGUUCCCGGGCCUUGCACACACCGCCCGU